rnacentral:tRNA from 1 species
ACACUGGUGGUUCAGUGGUAGAACUCUCGCCUUCCACACAGGAGAUCCGGAUUCGAUUCUUGGCCAGUGCU